rnacentral:rRNA from 1 species
AUUGAACGCUGGCGGCAGGCCUAACACAUGCAAGUCGAACGAGUGGCGGACGGGUGAGUAAUGUCUGGGGAUCUGCCCGAUGGAGGGGGAUAACUACUGGAAACGGUAGCUAAUACCGCAUACCAUCGGAUGUACCCAUAUGGGAUGAGCUUGUAGGUGUGGUAACGGCUCACCUAGGCGACGAUCCCUAGCUGGUCUGAGAGGAUGACCAACCACACUGGAACGGAGACACGGUCCAGAAUCCUACGGGAGGCAGCGGUGGGGAAUAUUGCACAAUGGGCGCAAGCCUUAUGCAGCCAUGCCGCGUGUAUGAAGAAGGCCUUCGGGUUGUAAAGUACUUUCAGUCGGGAGGCGUUACCCGCAGAAGAAGCACCGGCUAACUCCGUGCCAGCAGCCGCGGUAAUAC